AUGGAGGGACCGGGGCUACUGGUUCCGUCCCUUCCAAGUGGGAUGCUCUGCAGUUUUAAUUGCAUUAGUCAUACACACUUGUCCAGGAAUCUGGGGGCUCCUUCCGGGGGGGCCAGUACACUUCCCAUUGAUGGCUCUGUCUGCUGGACCCCCCGGAGAAUUGGGUAUCUCCCAAAGUUCCUCAUACUUAGCUACAUACACAUACAUUUAGGGCCGGGGGUGGGCUCUUUCACUGGGGCCUGGGGCUCAGGCCAGCUGUGGCCUCGGCCACUGGCCCUGAUGGAGAGAUCACCACCCAGUUUUAACUGCAAAAAGACAUUUAGGGCGAGGGGGGGCACUGUCCGGGGGACACACCGUCAGCCAGCGGUUGUGCUCCUGGAGGUGUCACCCACCUUCAGUGCACUUUAGUUCCACACACUCACGUCCAAGCUGGGUUGCAGGGUUCUGGGGUACCUAUUUCUACUGCCCUCUGCCUCCCCCGGUUUGGGGGGGUUGGUCGGGGCUCGGGAGGAGCUGCGGUCCCUGCCUGGGGCCACAUGGACGGCAGGCCGGAGACCUACCCUCCCCACGAAUGUGAUCAAGCGAAUGGUGUGGGUGGGAGAAUGUAUCUGAGAGUGCAUUGGUUCACGUAUGAUUGACUAGUUUGUUGUGAGAGAGUCUAUGGUGUGUGUGUGUGUUGAUGUGAUGAUGUGUGUUGCACAUGUGGAUGGGUGUAUGCGUCUGUGUUUGUGUGAGUUGGUAUGCGUGUGGUGCGGUUGAAGUGUGGGGGGUCCGGUUUUUCGCCCGGGGUACGAUGAUCGUCUGCCUGGGUGGUCUCUUUUCUGCUGACCCCACCAAUUGCUGGCCUUGUGCUGCAGGCCGCUGUAGCGCCAGGGGAUGAGGUCGGGCCGAUGGGGUAGGCCCCGCUCCGCCCGUGUGGGGGUGGUGGGCUGGGGGCGGGCCCCACUCUGGGCGCGAGGGCAUCUUCUGGCGGGCUCCCUACGGACCGUGGGUCCUCGGGCUCUACUCUUUCAGGCCGACCCUCCCGCCGGGGGGAGUGUUUGCCCCUGGUUCUCAUGGGGCGGACAGCGUUGACCCCCGGUGGCCCACUCUGGCCUCGGGUGCUGUCUCUGUGGCUGCUGCAGCUCUGCCUGGGGGGCUCUGUGUGGGCGGCUUGGGUCGCAACACCUGCCCUCCUGGAACUGAAGGUGUGUGGGCUCCCUGGCUGCUAGGAUUCCUUCCUCUGCUUGCUAGAUGGGCGUAGUGGCGGAGCCCCUCACAUCACCCUGGCUUCCACAAGUGGCAUUGUUCAUGCACCAACGUCUGCCUCACCCUUUGGGUGAAUAAUGAUAAGCUACAGCCUUACUAACCUUGUAGUGGGACACUUUCCAAAUCCAACUGUAAGUAUUAUUGAUACUUAUCACUACCGAUAUGAAUAAUGUGUGAAUAUGGAAUUUGUGGUGUUGUAUGUCAUGACUUUUAUUAAGUAGUAUGGGAUAUGUAUAAUAAUGCACAUAUGUAUGUAUAUUGUAUGUAUAUGUUUGUAUUAGUAUGUGCACAUACCUUAGCACUAUUAUUGGUAUUAGUAUUAAUCUCCAAGGUAAACCACAGUACAAAAAUUGUUUAGUUAUGAAUGUGUUAGCCUACGGUACAUCCAUGCUUCUUAUUUAUUUAUUUUUUUGCUCCGAUUGUUUGCUUAACGGAUUUGCUUGGUUUCAGCAGCUGGUUGCACCCCUUAUCCCCCCUCCCCCCCACCCUCCCGCAUACACACCCUAAAGCAGAAACCUAACCUGUCCACCAACACAGCAACAUCACACACAUUUUGGAUUAGCUAAAUAAACCAUUAAAUAAACCAUAAAUCA
rnacentral:lncRNA from 1 species